AGUGAACGCUGGCGGUAGGCCUAACACAUGCAAGUCGAACGGCAGCACAGUAAGAGCUUGCUCUUACGGGUGGCGAGUGGCGGACGGGUGAGGAAUACAUCGGAAUCUACUUUUUCGUGGGGGAUAACGUAGGGAAACUUACGCUAAUACCGCAUACGACCUACGGGUGAAAGCAGGGGAUCUUCGGACCUUGCGCGAUUGAAUGAGCCGAUGUCGGAUUAGCUAGUUGGCGGGGUAAAGGCCCACCAAGGCGACGAUCCGUAGCUGGUCUGAGAGGAUGAUCGGCCACACUGGAACUGGGACACGGUCCAGACUCCUACGGGAGGCAGCAGUGGGGAAUAUGGGACAAUGGGCGCAAGCCUGAUCCAGCCAUAGCGCGUGGGUGAAGAAGGCCUUCGGGUUGUAAAGCCCUUUUGUUGGGAAAGAAAAGCAGCAGGUUAAUACCCCGCUGUUCUGACGGUACCCAAAGAAUAAGCACCGGCUAACUUCGUG
rnacentral:rRNA from 1 species